CAUAACACCCAGAAAUUCAAGAUGUCGCUGUCAGUAGCAUAGCUGGAUUCAGCACUCAAGUCUUGGGUGAAAUGCAUUUGUGUUUGCUUUGAAAGUUUGUUUUCUUGUUACCUUGACCGGAAAGAUCAUCCUGAGCAUGAAAUACUGGGCAAAUUAUUUCACCUGCUCCAGGCCUGGCUGGCUCUUCUCUGUAAACUGGAGUGUUAACACCACCUCCUGCCUGGAGAUGCUGUCCAGACAAACCCAGGUGGCAGUGUGCUUGCCGUGGGUGUGUGUGUGUGUGUGCUUGCCGUGGGUGUGUGUGUGUGUGCUUGCUGUGCGUGUGUGUGUGCGCGUGUGUGCAUGUGUGCAUGCGCGUGUGCGUGUGUGUGUCUGCACGUGUGUGUGCACAUGUGUGUGCGUGUGUAUCACUGUCUAACCAUGGCAUCUGGUGGAUCCUUGCAGUCCAGCUGUCUGUUGCCAGUUGUGUUGGUCAUCUUGGGGCUGCCAUGACAAAGGACCAUAGACUGUGUGGGUCAACCCACAGGAACUGAUUUCUCACUGUUCUGGAGGCUGAAGUCUGGGAUCAGGCACCAGCAUGGCCACUUCCUGGUGAGGACUCCCUUCCUGGCUUGUAGAUAGCUGCUUUCUGAUUGUAUCCUCACAGGGGGAAGGUGGUGGGGUUGGGGAGACGGAGAGAGGUCAGGGCUUCCACAGCUACCAUCACACUGGGGGUCAGGGCUUCCACAGGUACCAUCACACUGGGGGUCAGGGCUACCACAGAUACCAUCACACCGGGGCCAGGGCUUCCACAGAUACCAUCACACCGGGGUCAGGGCUUCCACAGAUACCUUCACACCGGGGUCAGGGCUUCCACAGGUACCAUCACACUGGGGGCCAGGGCUUCCACAGAUACCAUCACACAGGGGUCAGGGCUUCCACAGGUACCAUCACACAGGGGCCAGGGCUUCCACAGAUACCAUCACACAGGGGUCAGGGCUUCCACAGAUACCUUCACACCGGGGUCAGGGCUUCCACAGGUACCAUCACACUGGGGGCCAGGGCUUCCACAGAUACCAUCACACUGGGGGUCAGGGCUUCCACAGAUGCCUUCACACCGGGGCCAGGGCUUCCACAGGUACCAUCACACUGGGGGCCAGGGCUUCCACAGAUACCAUCACACAGGGGUCAGGGCUUCCACAGGUACCAUCACACAGGGGUCAGGGCUUCCACAGGUACCAUCACACAGGGGUCAGGGCUUCCACAGAUACCUUCACACCGGGGUCAGGGUUUCCACAGGUACCAUCACACUGGGGGCCAGGGCUUCCACAGGUACCAUCACACUGGGGGCCAGGGCUUCCACAGGUACCAUCACACUGGGGGCCAGGGCUUCCACAGAUACCAUCACACAGGGGUCAGGGCUUCCAUAGAUACCUUCACACCGGGGUCAGGGCUUCCACAAGUAGCAUCACACAGGGGUCAGGGCUUCCACAGGUACCAUCACACCGGGGCCAGGGCUUCCACAGAUACCAUCACACCGGGGCCAGGGCUUCCACAGAUACCAUCACACCGGGGCCAGGGCUUCCACAGAUACCAUCACACCGGGGCCAGGGCUUCCACAGGUACCAUCACACCGGGGCCAGGGCUUCCACAGGUACCAUCACACCGGGGCCAGGGCUUCCACAGGUACCAUCACACCGGGGCCAGGGCUUCCACAGGUACCAUCACACCGGGGUCAGGGCUUCCACAGGUACCAUCACACAGGGGCCAGGGCUUCCACAGGUACCAUCACACAGGGGUCAGGGCUUCCACAGGUACCAUCACACAGGGGUCAGGGCUUCCACAGGUACCAUCACACUGGGAGUCAGGGCUUCCACAGAUACCAUAACACAGGGGUCAGGGCUUCCACAGGUACCAUCACACAGGGGUCAGGGCUUCCACAGGUACCAUCACACAGGGGUCAGGGCUCCACAGGUACCAUCACACUGGGAGUCAGGGCUUCCACAGAUACCAUAACACAGGGGUCAGGGCUUCCACAGGUACCAUCACACAGGGGCCAGGGCUUCCACAGGUACCAUCACACAGGGGUCAGGCCUUCCACAGAUACCAUCACACAGGGAGUCAGGGCUUCUACAGAUACCAUCACACAGGGGUCAGGGCUUCCAAAGAUACCAUCACAGUGGGAGUCAGGGUUUCCACAGGUACCAUCACACAGGGGUCAGGGCUUCCACAGAUACCAUCACACAGGGGUCAGGGUUUCCACAGGUACCAUCACACGGGGGUCAGGGUUUCCACAGGUACCAUCACACGGGGGCCAGGGCUUCCACAGAUACCAUCACACAGGGGUCAGGGCUUCCACAGACACCAUCACACCGGGGUCAGGGCUACCACAGAUACCAUCACACCGGCGCCAGGGCUUCCACAGAUACCAUCACACAGGG
rnacentral:lncRNA from 1 species